ensembl:lncRNA
CCCAGAGGCAGGUGGGGAAUGCUUCAUGUGAUGGUUAAUUUUAUGUGUCAACUUGACUGGGCUAAGGAAUGCCCAGAUAGCUGGUGAAGGGCUUUUUCUGGGUGUGUCUGUGAGGGUGUUUCAGGAAAAGAUGAGCAUUUGAAUUAGAAGACUGAGUGGAGAAGAUAGCCCUCACCAGUGCAGGUGGGCAUCACCCAAUCGGUUGAGGGCCUAAAUUGAACGAACGCAUGGAGGAAGGAUGAAUCUGCUCUCUGCUUCAGCUGGGACAUCCAUCUUCUCCUGCCCUCAGACACCACUGCUCCUAUUCUGGGACCUUCUGACUCAGACCAGGGCUGCCACCGUUGGGCCCCCUGGUUCUCAGACAUUUAGACUGGGACUGGAGCUGCAUCACUGGCUUCCUGGGCCUCCAGCUUGCAGAUGGCAGAUCAUGGGACUUCUCAGCCUCCAUAAUCACAGCCAGACGCCUAUGCAUCCUUGACACCCAAGAAGAUUCCUCUGUCCCCCUAGGGACUUGGCCUCUCUUGGAGGGUCCAGCGUACCUCAGUCCCCUGGGAAUCUUCACCCCAACUAUGAACCAAGCACCCUGUCAUGCCAUGGCAUCAGGCCUAGUGAAAUGGGAGGAAGUCUGCCGCGUUCAUCAUGGAAAUGGCCCCAUUCUUGGAAAGGCCCAAACCGAGCUUGUCUUCAUAACCACCGAAAUCCGAUUAUCUGCACUCCAGAAAGUGCGCGUGUGGAGACCACUUUCUCUAAUUAAUUGGUUCUACUGCCUGUGCUGGGCCGUUCAGGGGGCCUGAGAUGAGAGCUCUCUCUAGGUGGCUGACUGGGGACACGAGCCCGAGGCCUUCCGUCAGCUGAGCUUAGCGAAACAGUGAACCCAGGUCAGCUUGGCCAGAGACGGCCUCCUGCUCUCGGGGCUGAGACCCGUGUUGCCAGCACUCAGGGGAGGGGGCCCUGUCUUCCCCUUUCCCUUACUUCUUCCUAAGACCUGGAAAAAUGUCCCCCCUCCGGAGUUGACAGGCUGAUACUGGAAGCAGUCACUGGCUUAUUGCCAUUGCCUGGCUCGCCCGUACACUUACUCAUGUCUCUUCUGCUCCUCUCUCCUGUGCCCACUCCUUAACCCCAGCCAAGUCUUUUUCAGAGUCUCCCAGAGAGGACCUCACAUGUGCCCUGCUAGCUGCCCAGGCUCAGAGCCCCACCUGCCCUGAUCCUGGGGGCCCCACCACCGGCCAGCUUGGCACCAGCUUAACCAAGUCACCAGCCAUGGCCAAUCCUCCAGGCUGGCCGUGGCAGGCUGAAUAACGGCCACCAGAGCUGUCCAUGUCCUCAUUCUUGGAAACUGUGAAUGUCACCUUCUAUGGCAAAAGGGACUUGGAAGAUGUAAUCAUGUGGCAGAGGGGGACGCUUGCAGAAGAAGAUAAGAAACGAGGCCUGUUCCAUGCCAUCCUGACUCCCGGAAUCGCCUCUACUCGGCCAAACAUUCUUGAUCCGAUUUGAAUAAUGAUCCCAAGCUUCACUGAGCACCUGGUAGAUGCAUGACCGUGUUCAGUCCUCACUGUAACCAGAUGAGGAAAGUACUACUCGUCUUCCUAUUUCACGGAUGAGGAAACAACAGUCUAGCAUCACCUUACGAGGAAGUGGCAGGACCAGGAUGGGGUGCCCUUCUUUCUAAUGCCAAAGCUGCUGAGUUCUUUGUAAUUCACCCCACGCUGUCCUGCCCUGUCCUGUCACUUGCAGUCCCUCGUUCUUGCCCGCCAUCCAUCUUCGAUGCUACCCGAGGCCCCAGGCGACAGCAGAUUCCACGGCCACAUCCCCGCUUGCUCACAGUGGGAGAGGGGACAGGUGCCUGGAGAACCUAGUAGACGAGGGCAGUAGGCUCUGUCACGGAGAACCUGCAGACUCUCUCUAAGGCCGGGCUUGCCAAUCAGGCCCUUCAAACCACCAGCUGCUGGCCAAGUUUGGCCCAGAGACGCAUUUUUCUUUCCGUGGAAUGUUGAUGCUUUCCAUGCCUUUUCUGUUUUGUUUUGUUUUAAUUUGAAUGACUAUAUUCCUUGUUUAUUUUCUCUUUUUAGCAUCCUUGAAAUCAAGACACAUCUUAAAGUGGCUGUCAGAAAGACAUAAGCUGCAACAGGUUAUUGCUGUGCAUGCAGCAUCAAGACUUGCGGAAUGGGUGUUAACAGCUUGCAAAAAUCCUGGAGGCAGCAGUGUAGUAAGCACAGAAGACAAUAUUGUGUGGAAGAACUCAGAUUUUCACGAUGCUUGUGGAGAAGCAACACAGAGUCGUCAGAUUCUAAAUAGGAAGACUUUUGAGGAGCCCGGUAACCAGUCAAUUUUGCAUAUGAUUUCCUUUUUACAUAUGCACAAGCUUGCUAUACGAUAAAAAUUUUGGGCCUAAAUAAGUCUAAAAUAUUCCUUUCUUUAUGUAUAAAAUAAAUUUUGAAGUGGUAAGAAAGCCCUGCGUCAUGGUUUAAUAGGCAAAAUUUUCUUCCCUAAUGGCACAUAAAAUAAUGGUGUAGCUUAUAAUAGAUGCAUCUUAAAUUUGAUGAGAUAUGGCAUUUUCCAAAAAAAAACUCUGGCUCUUGAGCUUCCAACCAAAAAAUCAGAAAGUCUGAUGAUACAAGCCUUUUAUUUCUGCAAGGCAGCCAUUAGCUAGAGAGCUGAGAGGCAAUUGUCCCUUUUGAAUGGAGUAUAUGGUAUUUCAGUUUGCCGCAGUCCCCACCACUCCCUACUGCAUUACACUAGACCCUCUUCAAUCUUUCUGUUUACUCUCUGGCCUCUGUGGGCAUUUGAGUCUGUCACCCUUGAAAAGAUGGGUUCAGUGUUGCCUGGUUGGGAAACUAUGAUCCACAUAUGGCCCCAGCAGCAAAGAUUUAGCCUCUGGUUACUUCUUUUCCUGGACUUGGCAGGAGGGGAGAGAAGGGCAGCUACAGAGCAACAGCACUCAAGAGUGCCCCCUGGAAGUCAUGCUGUCUUGGCAGUAUACCUAGCCUGUUUCAUUGUUAGCUCACUGACUGGCCUCCCAGCCAAAUAACCAGACAGCUACCUCCAGCCACUAAAUGCCUGUAACACUUGUCUUAUGAGUGUCACAGAGAAGUCCAGGCACGGCUAAAACUGAGCAGAAAAUGCAGCCCAGGCUCAGUUGAAAUUCCUGCUCCCCGCGCAUCUAUUCACCCAUUUGCCAAUUUCUGCUGAGUGCUGCUAAUGUCAGGCUGCAGGCAAGGCGAUGGGGUGUGAAAAUGAAAUGCAUUGUCUAUAGAGGAGAAGCAGGCACAGAAAAUGAUAUGGCAUGGAAGUCCGUCACAUGACCAUACCUAGCUGCAAGGGAGCCUGGGAGAUGUGUCUAAGCUGUGUGUCCAGGAGGAACAGGACGCAGGACUUUGUCACUGCCUCAGAAGGUUAGGAUGCGUUUGGAGUAGAACCAGAGUCUGGCGAGGUUUCCUGAGGUUGUAAGAGGCAAGGACAGUAUCUUCUGUACUAGGAUUAUAGACUGGACUUUGGACACGGCGUUGCCAUGACUGCUCCAAGCAUCCGAGAGUCCUGACAAGUGCAGAGGGAUCAGGUGCACGAAGUUGUGACAGAUGUCAGACCCGAGCAGGACGCAUCAAGGGAUGCGGGAGCGCCAAGAAGGAGGAAGUAGAGAGCAGCCCAGGAUGGGAGCCCUGGAAGCGCUUCACGGCGGAGGCAGCAUCUGAGGUGGACCUUGAAGGCAGCGGGAUAGUGCCAUGUGCCGUAGCAGAGUGAUGCUUGGCAUCCUUUAAGCAUCAGGAUCCCCCCCAGCCUCCAGCCCGGGGACUGCAGUUUCCGUCGAGUCACCGAGUGUGACGUGUGGAGGGAGCAAGGGCCUGGCUUCCAGCGGCAGCCUCCACCACUGGUUAGUCCUGAGACCUUGGACACGUCACAUUCCCUCCCCCAACCUGUUUUCUCAUCUAUAAAAUAGAAAUAUUGGUGCUACCUCACACAGCUGGCGAGUGUUACAUGAGACACCUGUUAAAUGGCCAGCACAUAGCUCAUCCUGGUGGCACCAGGGAGAGUAAUGCUCUACAGAAAGAAAGAUGCUGAAGCAUUCACCAUUUUCAAGAACACAGAAGACUAUUUCUCUCCCCAGAAAGUCCUGAAGUGACAGAGCAGCUCUGCUCUGCAAUGUAAUCCAGGGACCGGGGUGCUGGCCCUCUGGGGCGGUUGCCUGCAUGCCUACAGGUGAGACCUCACCUCCUCUGGGUAGCAGCCAAAUGGCAGGGGAGGAGAGUGUGGAGCAGGCAUCCCAAACGUCUUCAGACCUCAAAAUGGAAGCAACAAGGUGGGCGGGGCACAGAGACUUUCUGGGCAGCCACAUCCCGGUUCCGACUCCAUUGCUCUGGAAGAAGAGAAUAAAUUUUGGUGGAUGCUAACACAGACCCUCCACAUAGGGUUUCAAUAAAUAGUUGCCGUCA